AUUGAACGCUGGCGGCAGGCCUAACACAUGCAAGUCGAGCGAGCGGCGGACGGGUGAGUAAUGUCUGGGAAACUGCCUGAUGGAGGGGGAUAACUACUGGAAACGGUAGCUAAUACCGCAUCCCAUCAGAUGUGCCCAGAUGGGAUUAGCUCGUAGGGGGGGUAAUGGCUAACCUAGGCGACGAUCCCUAGCUGGGCUGAGAGGAUGACCAGCCACACUGGAACUGAGACACGGGCAAGACUCGUACGGGAGGCAGCAGUGGGGAAUAUUGCACAAGGGGCGCAAGCCGGAUGCAGCAAUGCCGCGUGUAUGAAGAAGGCCUUCGGGUUGUAAAGUACUUUCAGCGAGGAGGCGUGACUCGCAGAAGAAGCACCGGCUAACUCCGUGCCAGCCGCCGCGGUAAUAC
rnacentral:rRNA from 1 species